rnacentral:rRNA from 1 species
GUGAGAGCAAGAGCCCGGAGAUGGAUUCUGAGACACGAAUCCAGGCCCUACGGGGCGCAGCAGGCGCGAAAACUUUACAAUGCUGGCAACAGCGAUGAGGGAACCUCGAGUGCCAGGUUACAAAUCUGGCUGUCGAGAUGCCUAAAAAGCAUUUCAUAGCAAGGGCCGGGCAAGACCGGUGCCAGCCGCCGCGGUAACACCGGCGGCUCGAGUGGUAACCGUUAUUAUUGGGUCUAAAGGGUCUGUAGCCGGCCGGAUAAGUCUCUUGAGAAAUCUGGCAGCUUAACUGUCAGGCUUUCAGGAGAUACUGUCUGGCUCGAGGCCGGGAGAGGUGAGAGGUACUUCAGGGGUAGGGGUGAAAUCUUGUAAUCCUUGAAGGACCACCAGUGGCGAAGGCGUCUCACCAGAACGGACCUGACGGCAAGGGACGAAAGCUAGGGGCACGAACCGGAUUAGAUACCCGGGUAGUCCUAGCCGUAAACGAUACUCGCUAGGUGUCGGCCACGGUGCGACCGUUGUCGGUGCCGUAGGGAAGCCGUGAAGCGAGC